CAGGGGUUGGAAUCAUGAUGCUGUGGCCCCUGCAGCGUCUAAGCGGGCGAUCACGGGGAUCUCCACACGCCCGCCGGUAUAGCCGCGCCACUAUUAAAGUAGGCCGCUGGAUGAAGCUCGCAUUGCUUCCAGCGCUCCGAAUUUUAUGUGUAGUGACGCGCCGCACGCCGUGGAGGGGUGAAGCAUGUUGGACUUGCUUCAGAAGGUGCGGAACGCCG
rnacentral:sRNA from 12 species